GUUUCAGCCGCCGCGGUAAUACAGAGGGUGCAAGCGUUAAUCGGAUUUACUGGGCGUAAAGCGUGAGUAGGUGGCUCGCUAAGUCGGUUGUGAAAUCCCUGGGCUCAACCUGGGAAUUGCAGUCGAUACUGACGAGCUCGAGUUCGGUAGAGGGUGACGGAAUUCCCGGUGUAGCGGUGAAAUGCGUAGAUAUCGGGAGGAACAUCGAUGGCGAAGGCAAUCACCUGGGCCUGAACUGACACUGAGACACGAAAGCGUGGGUAGCAAACAGGAUUAGAAACCCCAGUAGUCC
rnacentral:rRNA from 1 species